AGUUUUUUCAGCUCAACUCGAUUGCUUCAACCUCUUAACUACGACAGUGAUCAGUGCCAGUCUGCCAGAAGAAGAAUGAGAACCACGUUGCUCAUUGAUCGAUCUUCGUAAGAGAGAAAAUUUAGACAAGAAAUGAGUGUAGAUUUUGAAGUUGAAAGUAAAUGAGAUGAAUGUGAAUGAACAAGUGGAACAUAACAUACAGGUACUUUGGAUGCAAAGCUUACUGAGGAGCUACACCAUUGCUCGCUUCCAAUAGCAUGCAGCUCUUGUGCUUCAUGUAAGAUGGUGGUUAUUCUAUGAUCUUAUGAUAAUUCAAACAUUCUCUCAAGCACAUUUCUACAUACAAUUGCAGUUAUCACUUAUCAGUGAUAACUCCUGUAUCAGUUGGAAAGCACUGGAUGCAAACCUUGAUACAUAUACAGAUGCGGCAGAGCUUGGUGAAGAUGCAUGCCCAUCCUGAUUUGCAAAAGCAUCUAGUUCUUCUGCUUCACAAGAGGCCCUCUCAGCCUUUUUUUGCAAGUAUCGACGCCAUGCUGCCUGUAUCAUACAUGCAGCCCACGUCCUCCACUGCUGGGAGAAGAACCUGGAGACACAUUGCUGAAUAAGGUUUUGAAUUCUAUCU